AUCCUGGCUUAGGAUGAACGCUAGCGACAGGCUUAACACAUGCAAGUCGAGGGGCAGCAUAGAAGUAGCAAUACUUGGUGGCGACCGGCGCACGGGUGAGUAACGCGUAUGCAACCUACCUAUCAGAGGGGAAUAACCCGGCGAAAGUCGGACUAAUACCGCAUAAAACAGGGGCACCGCAUGGUGAUAUUUGUUAAAGAAAUUCGCUGAUAGAUGGGCAUGCGUUCCAUUAGGUAGUUGGUGAGGUAACGGCUCACCAAGCCGACGAUGGAUAGGGGAACUGAGAGGUUGGUCCCCCACACUGGUACUGAGACACGGACCAGACUCCUACGGGAGGCAGCAGUGAGGAAUAUUGGUCAAUGGGCGGGAGCCUGAACCAGCCAAGUCGCCGUGAAGGAAGAAGGAUCUAUGGUUCGUAAACUUCUUUUGCAGGGGAAUAAAGUGCAGGACGUGUCCUGUUUUGUAUGUACCCUGAGAAUAAGGAUCGGCUAACUCCGUGCCAGCCGCCGC
rnacentral:rRNA from 1 species